UACGUAGGGUGCAAGCGUUAAUCGGAAUUACUGGGCGUAAAGGGUGCGUAGGCGGUUAGUUAAGUCUGUUGUGAAAUCCCCGGGCUAAACCUGGGAAUGGCAAUGGAUACUGGCUGGCUAGAGUGUGUCAGAGGAUGGUGGAAUUCCCGGUGUAGCGGUGAAAUGCGCAGAUAUCGGGAGGAACACCAGUGGCGAAGGCGGCCUUCUGGACCAAUACUGACGCUCAUGCACGAAAGCGUGGGGAGCAAACAGG
rnacentral:rRNA from 1 species